GAUGAACGCUGGCGGCGUGCCUAAUACAUGCAAGCCGAGCGAACGGACGAGAAGCUUGCUUCUCUGAUGUUAGCGGCGGACGGGUGAGUAACACGUGGAUAACCUACCUAUAAGACUGGGAUAACUUCGGGAAACCGGAGCUAAUACCGGAUAAUAUUUUGAACCGCAUGGUUCAAAAGUGAAAGACGGUCUUGCUGUCACUUAUAGAUGGAUCCGCGCUGCAUUAGCUAGUUGGUAAGGUAACGGCUUACCAAGGCAACGAUGCAUAGCCGACCUGAGAGGGUGAUCGGCCACACUGGAACUGAGACACGGUCCAGACUCCUACGGGAGGCAGCAGUAGGGAAUCUUCCGCAAUGGGCGAAAGCCUGACGGAGCAACGCCGCGUGAGUGAUGAAGGCCUUCGGAUCGUAAAACUCUGUUAUUAGGGAAGAACAUAUGUGUAAGUAACUGUGCACAUCUUGACGGUACCUAAUCAGAAAGCCACGGCUAACUACGUG
rnacentral:rRNA from 1 species